rnacentral:rRNA from 1 species
UACGAAGGGGGCUAGCGUUGCUCGGAAUCACUGGGCGUAAAGCGUGCGCAGGCGGUUCUGCAAGUCAGAUGUGAAAUCCCCGGGCUUAACCUGGGAACUGCGUUUGAAACUACGGAGCUAGAGUGCGGCAGAGGGGGGUGGAAUUCCACGUGUAGCAGUGAAAUGCGUAGAUAUGUGGAGGAACACCGAUGGCGAAGGCAGCCCCCUGGGCCGACACUGACGCUCAGGCACGAAAGCGUGGGGAGCAAACAGG